rnacentral:lncRNA from 1 species
UAUUCUCUUUUCUUCAUACAGAACAAAGUUAUAUAAAUUACAAGGAAAUUAAACCAAUGUUCAUCAAGUAAUGAAAAAAUAACAUGCAUUUCAAAACAUUAAGGUACAACACAAAAAUGUUAAAUUUUAGAUCUCAAAACAGAACAUUUUUUUUUAAAUGAUCGAAAUACUUUAAUUUUUAACUGAAGGGAUAAAUUCACAACAGUAGACAGUUGCUAUGAAAAGUAAAUAGUAAGCAGGUGGUCUUGGGUGGCUGCACGCCCCCAGAAGAUGAUUAUUUAUAGUAAAAAAUUCUUAUUGAAACAAGAUGUUGUUUUUAAAUUGUUUUUAAGCUCAUGCCUACAAAGCUACUACACUGGUAGACAAAAAUUAAAGCUAUAAAGCUUUUUGCACAGAAUUUUUAAUGAGGGUCAGGUGUCACAAUAUACAUGCAUAUAAGGAAUAGAUUAUUCUUAAAUCAUUAAACAAUUUACCCUGACAAUACACUCUCUUUAAAAUAAAAUUUAUUUUAUCUUGAAAAUUGAGCAAAUAAAACAUAAAUAGACAUCUAUAAACCGCUGUUGGAGAAGACAAACAAUAUUUAAAGAAAAGACUAGGGUUAACUGCCAAACAUUUUAAAUCUGGUUACAUGCACAUAAAGAGGACCUUUAGGAUGAGCAUUAACAUAAUGGAAAAUAAACAUUCUAGUAAAGAUAAACUGCUGGAGAUGUACAGACAAACUAUGUAUAGACAGGGGUAAAACAAUAUGUUUGUUGCAUGGGCCCAAAACAAAUAAAAUAAACAUGAACUUUCUAAAAGUGGCUCAAGACUGUCCCUAAAUCUAUGGAAAGUAUUUUUGAACAAGUAAAAGAGGAUUUUCAUUUACUGAUGGUAUGUACAUGGUGAUUAGCAGAUAUGCUGUAAAGAUGUCAUACAAAAGCAAUAAGCAAGCUGAAAUAACAAAUUAUACCGGUAUACUAUAUAGCUUAUUAAACAAAUCAACAAUAUAUAUUUGUAGUAAAUAAAUAAAUAUAUUUCUUUAUAAACAACAUAAACAAAAUCCUCUGUAAAGGAAGACUGAGGUAUUUCAUACUCAUUUAUAAGUUAAACCAUUAACUACCAUGUCAUUUCACAUAAACUCAGGACCAUCGGAAAUGUCUUGUUCUAAACAAAAAUCAAAUUGAAAAUUUUGGAAAGGGGUAGGGGUUCUGAUAUACCAGCAGGGCAUCCAAGCAAAGUUCCCAAAUCCUGGUUUAUGGUUAUAAACUUCAUGAUAAUGCCAAUUUUUCACAGGUACAAUAUGCUAAUGCAGGGCAAUUCAAGGGAGUUUUUGGAAAGUUCAAUUCAAUUUAGACCCACCAGUAAUAAGGUAUUAAAAGAAAACUAUUCAAAGACUUAAUUUUUAAAUAUAAAACCUACCCCCACAUAUAGUAACUGUUUUUUUCACUCCCAAGACAUACACAGUAACAUGCCUCACCCUUAUCUUCUAGUGUGUAUAAUUCUUGUGUUACUAUUAAACAACAUUCAGAUCAUGCAUGGAAAGUUAAUUUCCAUCAUUUAAAAGUGUUAGGUAAGAAAAUGUAAAACAUGUAAUGUGACCACAGGCACUUGUCUCAGAAUUUUUUCCCCCUAUAUACCUUUAAAAUAUAAUAUGUUAUAUUAAGGUAUGUAGGGGGGGAAAAUCUGAGACAAGUGCAUGUGAAUGUGACUUUGAAAUACUUCAGUCUUAUAUUCACACAAACUACAUAACAAUGAAAAACACAACCCUUCUUUGGUAAAUACACAAGAAAUUCAAUAAACAAUUUUACUAAUAUGCAUACAUUUUUACAAAUGACUAUUCAAAUACAUAUAGUGAGAAUUUAUACUUAUACAAAUCUAUAUCAACA